GAACACCGGUGGCGAAGGCGGCUUACUGGACUGUAACUGACGCUGAGUCACGAAAGCGUGGGUAGCAAACAGGAUUAGAUACCCUGGUAGUCCACGCUGUAAACGAUGAGUGCUAGGUGUUGGGUAGCGAUAUUCAGUGCCGGAGUAAACACAAUAAGCACUCCGCCUGGGGAGUACGGUCGCAAGACUGAAACUCAAAGGAAUUGACGGGGACCCGCACAAGCAGCGGAGCAUGUGGUUUAAUUCGAAGCAACGCGAAGAACCUUACCUAGACUUGACAUCUCCUGAAUUACCGGUAAUGCGGGAAGCCCUUCGGGGCAGGAAGACAGGUGGUGCAUGGUUGUCGUCAGCUCGUGUCGUGAGAUGUUGGGUUAAGUCCCGCAACGAGCGCAACCCUUAUUGUUAGUUGCUACCAUUAAGUUGAGCACUCUAGCGAGACUGCCGGGGUUAACUCGGAGGAAGGUGGGAUGACGUCAAAUCAUCAUGCCCCUUAUGUCUAGGGCUACACACGUGCUACAAUGGCGAGUACAACGAGAAGCAAUACCGCGAGGUGGAGCCAAACCUUGAAAACUCGUCCCAGUUCGGAUUGUAGGCUGAAACUCGCCUACAUGAAGCCG
rnacentral:rRNA from 1 species